rnacentral:rRNA from 1 species
UACGGGGGGGCAAGCGUUGUUCGGAAUUACUGGGCGUAAAGGGCUCGUAGGUGGCCAACUAAGUCAUGCGUGAAAUCCCUCGGCUUAACCGGGGAACUGCGUCUGAUACUGGAUGGCUUGAGUUUGGGAGAGGGAUGCGGAAUUCCAGGUGUAGCGGUGAAAUGCGUAGAUAUCAGGAGGAACACCGAUGGCGAAGGCAGGUCUCUGGGCCACUACUGACGCUGAGAAGCGAAAGCAUGGGGAGCGAACAGG